UACGUAGGGUGCGAGCGUUAAUCGGAAUUACUGGGUGUAAAGCGUGCGCAGGCGGUUCGUUGUGUCGGCGGUGAAAGCCCCGGGCUCAACCUGGGAAUGGCCGUUGAAACUGGCGAACUGGAGUGUGGCAGAGGGGGGUGGAAUUCCGCGUGUAGCAGUGAAAUGCGUAGAGAUGCGGAGGAACACCGAUGGCGAAGGCAGCCCCCUGGGCUGACACUGACGCUCAGGCACGAAAGCGUGGGGAGCAAACAGG
rnacentral:rRNA from 1 species